CAACUAAGAGCACAGGAGAGCUGUGUCCCGCUGUCUGUCCGUGCUGCAGACAGCACAGGCCAGAGCAGCAUGUGGGGCAGUGAGGGCUCUUCCUCAACACAAACUGCGGCUUCUUCUUCCCCCCUUUGCUCUCAGAACCAGUCCUAAAGGUACAGAACUCAAUAUAUAACAUAAACAAGGUGAUUUGGGAUACAGGCAUCACAAAGUCACCCCAGGACACCUGAGUAUGAUUCUGUGGAGUGAGGGAUCACAGGAUGAGUGUUUGAAGCUUUCUUCAAGUAUUGCAGGCUGCCUGUUGCCCUGUCCUUCUGUGGCCCAGCCAGGUGUCCUGCCCCACACCUGGGAGGAGGCAUCCACCAGAACCUGCUCCCUGUCUUUUCCAGGAGGAUAAAGCUGUUCUUUAAACCAUACUCCAGUGCUUUCCCUGGUGGGAAGUCACAGCUGUUCUUCAAGGAGGAUGAAGGUCUGUGCUGUGCUGAUACAUGGAGGUAUGGCCAGCUUUGCAAUCCUCCUAUGAGAGGUGAGGGGGCUGCCACAGCUGAGAGAUAGGUGUGAUACCUCCCUUUAAUGAUCCAUCAUUUUCUGGACCUCAAGGAAGAGAAAAGCUAACUUGGCUUCUCAUUUUAAGCUUUCCCAAGAGGAAAAUGGACUGUGGUGAGGGGGUUAUUUAAGGCAGCAGAAUCACUUGUCAUUCACAAGGUGAUGGGGUUAAUUCUGAUCAGCUCUGAGGUGAUGAGAGGCCCAGCUCACAACUGCAGAGUCCUGUGAGCCUGCCCUGGGUGCUGGGACAAGGAAGAGUCAGGCACUAUUCCUUUUCUGUGAGUGGCUUCUCAGGGGCAGCAUUAAGAAAUGUUGUACUGUAGCAGGGCAAUGUCUCAAAGUAUCAAAGUUUAUUCAGUAAUUAUUUAACAUUUGCCUAUACCUCUUUCAGAGCUGCUCUGGGGGUAUUUUCUGGAGCAUCAUUGUGGCCCUGGGUGGGAUUCCUUUCUGUCCUGUUGAGACCUGUCUGGGAUUUGAGAACUUGGGAUCCCUGCUCUCUGUGGCUUGUCUUUUAUGAGACAACCAGCUCAAAAAAAGUUGUCCCAUAACUCAUCUCAGUGUUUUGGAUUUUGCUGAAGAGGUGUUUAAUUGAAAAGCUCUUAGUCCAAAAGCCAGACCCUUACCACUGAGGCAAUAUCUUUUCCUUUUCCUCAAAGAUGCUGUGAGUAAAAUGAUGAAGGUACUGAAUUUUUCCAUGCUCUGGUUUCUCACAGAGCAAAUCAGCUGCAGAGUCCACUCUGGCUUGGUGUCAGAAGGGAAUCAGCUUCACUUUUAUAAGCUCCUCAGCAAAUACCACGAGGUUCAGGUGGGGAGAUGCAGUGCUGGGAUUCCACCAGGUCUGUGUGGAGCAGGUGAAUAUGUCACAAAGGAGAUGGAGGGAACCCUAACAACUUCUCUCCCAGGUGGAGGAAACCACUUGCUCUUGAUUUUUUUCCCUUUGAUCACCAUGUGGCAAGAGAUAAAAGGUAUUUUGGGGUGGGUUUCAUCAUAAUAAAGUCCUGCUUUUU